GUUAUAAGCCAAAAUAUGCAUUUUUCAUAUCUCCUGACCACUAGGUGGCGCUGUGUCGAAACACUGCAGGUAGUCUCAGUUCAUGCUUGUUAUAACACACGCCAAGUUUGGUCUCAAUAUGACAAACCGUUGCCGGGAUAUAGCCUCACGUGCAUGUUUGCAUGCUUUUCGUCAAAUUUGUUUACGUGUCAUUCGACAACAGUUGGACGAAUCAACUUGAAUUCCAUAACUUUUUGCCCGGCAUGGUCUGAAGAUGAUCUGAGCCAAUUUUCGUGGAAAUCGGACUAACCGUCUAGGACGAGUUCGAAAAAGUAGGUUUUUCGAAUAAUUGAAAAUAGCGAAAAAACUAAACCUUGCGAUUUUUGAAUUUUAGGGUUCAUUCGACUUGGCCUGAGCCAAGGAUUCAGAGGAAAAAAGAAUUUCCAUUUUCUGGCUUACGGUUCAAAAGUUAUUAGCAUACAAACAUUGAAAGUUUGGACAAGUGGUGGCGCUAGAGAGUAGGAGUUAGAGGCUUCAAAUUUGCUAUAGUUAAUGUUGGGACUGUCCUCUAUCAGUGUGCCAAAUUAUACAACUUUCCCGCAAACGGUUCUAUGGGCUGCCAUAGACUUGCGGCGGAAGAAGAAGAAGAAGAAUAAUAAAUAUAGCUGCAAGCAGCAAUUACGGGGCCAAGCACUCCAACGGCAAAUGUAGUAGCUAAGCAUCGCAUAAUGCAUCACACCAAAUACAUUAAUGAGCAAUAACAGCAAUUUUGGAAUUAUUGUAUUUGAAAUGGCAAAAAAAAAAAAAAAAACACCAAUACCACCUCUAGUAGCAUGAUUACUUGGUUUAUCAAGCUUGACCAAUAGGUGACACUGUUAUAAAAUCAAUUUGGUGUACUCUGUGUGUCUUUUCAAUGACACACACAAAGUUUGGUGUCAAUAUGCCAAAGCAUUCCAGGGAUACAGCCUCAAGUGUCAUUUUCUCAUUGUGCCUCAAAUUCGUCGAUGUGGUAUGCGAAAACGGUUUUGUCUAUCGACUCAAAAUCCAUAACUUUGAAUCAGUAUAGCCUGAAGAUCAUUUGAUUCGAAUUUGGUGAAAAUCGGACAUACGGUUGAUCAGGAGUUCGAAAAAGUAUGUUUUCAACAUAAAUCAAAAUGGCGGACCGGAAGUUCAGCUUACCGUGGUAUAUUUGGUAUCUAUGUUAUCGGCAUAAGCCAGGGAAUAUUUUGAGCCCAGUUUCCUUCAAAUAGGCUAAUGCAUUAACAAGUUAAUAGCAUUUUAAAAAGUGUAAUUACUCAUGGUUAAUGAAUGGUUUAUUACUCUUGACCAAUAGGUGGCGCUGUUACCAAAUUUAUGUGGCAUGGUCAGUGUGAGGUGGCGAUGACACAUACAAAAUUUGGUGCAAAUAUGUCAAAGUGUUGCAGAGAUACAGCCUCAAAUGCAUUUUGGCACCCUUCCAGCAAAUUCGUUGAUGCGCUAAAUGAGAACCGUUUCGUAUAUCGACACGAAAUCCAUAACUUUUUGCCAGCAUGGUCUGAAGAUGAUUCACGUCAAAUUUGGUGAAAAUUGGACUAACGGUCUAGGAGGAGUUUGAAAAAGUAGGUUUUCAACAUUAAGCAAAAUGGCGGACAGGAAGUAAGGCCAAUUUUCACAUAAUUGGUAUCAAUGCUCUCGGCAUGACCCACAGAAUAUAGCGAGAUCAUUUUAAUUUUAAUAGUCUAAUUUAUUCAAAAGUUAUUAGCAUUUAUGUGAUAUUUCAUUAUAACUAUUGGCCACAAGGUGGCGCUGCCACCAAACUUUUUGAGUACCUUCAGGGCAUGGAGCCG